rnacentral:rRNA from 1 species
GAUGAACGCUGGCGGCGUGCCUAAUACAUGCAAGUCGAGCGAAUGGAUUAAGAGCUUGCUCUUAUGAAGUUAGCGGCGGACGGGUGAGUAACACGUGGGUAACCUGCCCAUAAGACUGGGAUAACUCCGGGAAACCGGGGCUAAUACCGGAUAACAUUUUGAACCGCAUGGUUCGAAAUUGAAAGGCGGCUUCGGCUGUCACUUAUGGAUGGACCCGCGUCGCAUUAGCAAGUUGGUGAGGUAACGGCUCACCAAGGCAACGAUGCGGAGCCGACCUGAGAGGGUGAUCGGCCACACUGGGACUGAGACACGGCCCAGACUCCUACGGGAGGCAGCAGUAGGGAAUCUUCCGCAAUGGACGAAAGUCUGACGGAGCAACGCCACGUGAGUGAUGAAGGCUUUCGGGUCGUAAAACUCUGUUGUUAGGGAAGAACAAGUGCUAGUUGAAUAAGCUGGCACCUUGACGGUACCUAACCAGAAGGCCACGGCUAACUACGUGCCAGCAGCCGCGGUAA